rnacentral:rRNA from 1 species
AUGUCUUUACGUAAUUUUUGCGCGGUAUGUAGGAUACCCUACGAGGGAGAAUUAGAGGAACCCCAUCGUAAAGAUGUGGAUGGCUUUGUUAACACUAUAGCUAUAGAGGAGCCAAAGAAGGGUUCCGAGGCGAAAAUCUCUAGCAUACAUUUUCCUGUUUUACGCUACUUUGCCAUAUUUGCUAGUAGAUGCUUGAUUGGUCAUGGAAAUAGUGGAAACUUUAGUGUUCCUAACAUUAUCAUCCUUCAACAUGCCUUGCUUGGAGAUAGUAGUUUUAGUAUGGGUGCCGUCAUUGCUAAACGGCUAGGCCUGAAUCAUACAAAAGGCCCCAUAUUUGGAAGUAUCUAUGCUUCACGUCUUGCUAGACAUUUUCAGAUACCUAUUAGGCACCAUGAGAAAGAGGAGACAAAAUUGUCUCCUCACAUUUUAGAUUACAAGAGCAUGGUAGCCCACAAGUUUAUCAUUGACAACGAAGAAACGAUGCUCUUGUAUAACCUUAAAUUUAAUAAGAAACGCAAUGAGACUAUUAUUUUGCAUGUGCCUCUGUUGUUUGAUUUGACUGCAGAUAAUUUUCUUAUUACACUGAAGCGGUGUACACUCAUCGAGCCCAAGCUUUCACUCCAGAACCUGAACCUGAGCCGGAACCUGAACUGGACCCUUAUCGUGCAUCAUCUUUCCAGUGGGAUCCGGAGAUGGCCAGCCAAUGGUAUCCUAAUUACACCUCCCAGUACACCGGGGAGAGUAGCAGCGGUCCUUGGUACGGUCCCCAAAAGCCUAAGCUUGGGGGAGUACGUAUUUCACACCGACUUUACAUUCAUGUUCACACACUAG